rnacentral:rRNA from 1 species
CACGUGGGUAAUCUGCCCUUCGAUGGGGAAUAACCUCGCGAAAGCGAGGCUAAUUCCGCAUAACAUUCCGAUGAUUUAGGUUGUUGGAUUCAAAGCCGUAAGGCGUCGGAGGAGGAGCCCGCGCACGAUUAGCUAGUUGGUGAGGUAACGGCUCACCAAGGCUAUGAUCGUUAGCUGGUCUGAGAGGAUGGCCAGCCACACUGGAACUGAGACACGGUCCAG